AGGGCUCCCGAGGACGGAAGGACUGCUGCUGUAAGAGAAGAGUAACCAGAUGGAUGGUGUUUACUAUGAAGUCAAUGGCACAGAGUAGAGCGAGAAUGCUGACCCUAUAGAGCCAGGCCUCUCCCUGAACUUCCUCUGUAGAGCAGACUGGCCUUGAACUCAAGAGAUUUACCUGCCUCUGCCUCCAGAGUCCUGGGAUUAAAGUAAAGGCAAUUGCCCUGCAUGAAAAAUAGUCUUUAAGGGUGAGUUAAUUCUGGAGCCACUCCCGAGCAAGGCCUCAUGUUUGGCUAGUAUUCUCUUCACGCACACCACUGAGCCAUGGUAGGAGUACCCUGUGAAGCCUGAAAGCAUCUGCCACAAAGCCAGGAACUGCAAAUGCUGCCUCCUCUACAGAAGUCCACUCUUCUGAAUGUAAGCAUGCCAGGACCAUGAAGAACAAGCAAGAUGAGCCCUCAACCUUCUCUCUACCUCAGGAAAACUAAAUGCAAACCAACAAGGGAAGGCCCUCCCACCACACGGAUCAAAGGGCCGGUGUGCAUGAAGCAGGUCAGCAUACAAGGAAACUGUCUUUCCCGGGACGACAAUAACCCUUGAAGAUUAUCAUCACAAGUAGGAACUAAUAAAGCUUUUCUAGAAUUU